AACGAACGCUGGCGGCAGGCUUAACACAUGCAAGUCGAGCGCCCCGCAAGGGGAGCGGCAGACGGGUGAGUAACGCGUGGGAACGUACCUUUUGGUUCGGAACAACUCCGGGAAACUGGAGCUAAUACCGGAUAGCCCUAACGGGGAAAGAUUUAUCGCCGAAAGAUCGGCCCGCGUCUGAUUAGCUAGUUGGUGAGGUAACGGCUCACCAAGGCGACGAUCAGUAGCUGGUCUGAGAGGAUGAUCAGCCACACUGGGACUGAGACACGGCCCAGACUCCUACGGGAGGCAGCAGUGGGGAAUAUUGGACAAUGGGCGCAAGCCUGAUCCAGCCAUGCCGCGUGAGUGAUGAAGGCCUUAGGGUUGUAAAGCUCUUUUGUCCGGGAAGAUAAUGACUGUACCGGAAGAAUAAGCCCCGGCUAACUUCGUG
rnacentral:rRNA from 1 species